GACCUUGCUGUGGUGGAGCGGCCAACUGGCUAACACUCUGGUCGUUGGUGCCGAAGGCUUCAGGUUCAAAUCCUGGCGGUGUCA